rnacentral:rRNA from 1 species
GAUGCGCGUUGGCUGGCGAUCAGGAAGGUUAACACGACCCGACAGUUUAGUUCAUCAUCGAUGUUCGAGACCAUGAAAUCCGUCUGGGGAUUAGCACAAGUGCCAAAGUAUAGAGAAGCGGGUGAAAAUCUUUAUAUCUUCCAGAUGUUCUUCUUAGGAGAUUGGAAGAAAGUUGUCCAUGGAGGACCCUGGUUAUUCCGGGGGAUGGGUAUGCUCAUUGAGGAUUAUGAUGGUAAGCAAGACCCAGCAUAUUUCGUCUUCGAUGGUUUGUAUGUCUGGGCGCAGAUCCACAAUAUACCGGAACUGUACCGCAAGAUCGAGGUGGUUGAUCAACUAGCUCGACGUAUUAGCUGAGUUAAGGAAACACAACUCUCACCGAGGCUCUUUUACGAGGGUGAUUGCGUACGAGUCCGUGCUAGGAUUUUGGUCAACAAACCCCUGACGAGGGUGACUCCGCUGAAUGUGACAGGUGAGGGCAGGAAACUCCUACCUGUUAAGUACGAGAAGAUACCAUAUUUCUGCCAAGUUUGUGGUCUCAUGGGUCACAACCACGAGGAGUGUAGUGAUGGAAGGGAGGCAAAAGACAAGCAAUGGGGAGGUUGGAUGCUAGCGCAACGCAGGGAGAUACCUCAGGAGUAG